rnacentral:rRNA from 1 species
UAGUCCACGCCGUAAACUAUGAUCACUCGCUGCUGGCGAUACAUUGUCAGUGGCCAAGCGAAAGCAUUAAGUGAUCCACCUGGGGAGUACGAUCGCAAGGUUGAAACUCAAAGGAAUUGACGGGGGCCCGCACAAGCGGUGGAACAUGUGGUUUAAUUCGAUGAUACGCGAGGAACCUUACCUGGGCUUAAAUGUAGAGCGACCGCUGCCGAAAGGUGGCUUUCCUUCGGGACGAACUACAAGGUGCUGCAUGGUUGUCGUCAGCUCGUGCCGUGAGGUGUCGGGUUAAGUCCCAUAACGAGCGCAACCCUCAUCGUUAGUUGCCAGCGAGUAGUGUCGGGAACUCUAACGAAACUGCCGGUGUAAACCGUGAGGAAGGUGAGGAUGACGUCAAAUCAGCACGGCCCUUAUGUCCAGGGCUACACACGUGUUACAAUGGUCGGUACAAAGGGCAGCUACCUGGUGACAGGAUGCUAAUCUCGAAAACCGAUCUCAGUUCGGAUCGG